UUAAGUAACGAUAGCCUAGGAGAUACACCUGUACCCAUGCCGAACACAGCAGUUAAGCCCUAGUACGCCUGAAGUAGUUGGGGGUUGCCCCCUGUUAGAUACGGGAGUUGCUUAGC
rfam:Streptococcus urinalis 2285-97 final_molecule, whole genome shotgun sequence.